UUACCACUUCCUCCAUUUCAUAAUUCUUGUCAAAAUAUUACAUGUAUCUAAACACUUUUUAGGAAUAGAUACAUCAAUUUUUGGUCAAAUUUGAAACAAGAAUUAUGGAAUGGAGGGAGUAUACG
rnacentral:pre_miRNA from 1 species